rnacentral:rRNA from 1 species
UACAGAGGGUGCAAGCGUUAAUCGGAAUUACUGGGCGUAAAGCGUGCGUAGACGGUUAUGUAAGUCGGGUGUGAAAGCCCCGGGCUCAACCUGGGAAUUGCAUUCGAGACUGUGUAGCUAGGGUACGGAAGAGGGAAGCGGAAUUUCAGGUGUAGCGGUGAAAUGCGUAGAUAUCUGAUGGAACACCAGUGGCGAAAGCGGCUUCCUGGUCCAGUACCGACGUUCAGGCACGAAAGCGUGGGGAGCAAACAGG